UGAGCAAUCUGCCCUUCUCAUCGGAAUAAGCGUUGGAAACGACGUCUAAUGCCGAAUACGACCUCCUUUCGCAUGAUCGGAGGUGGAAAGCUCCGGCGGAGAAGGAUGAGCUCGCGGCCUAUCAGCUAGUUGGUGUGGGUAAUGGCCCACCAAGGCGACGACGGGUAGCCGGCCUGAGAGGGUGACCGGCCACACGUGGGGCUGAGACACGGCCCAGACCUCCGUACGGGAGCAG
rnacentral:rRNA from 1 species